CCCUUGUCCGGGUUUGUGAAGUUGUCCUGACGUGGCAGCCGCGUCGUGGCGGCCGGUCGCUUCGCGAGGCCCUCCCGGCGCCCGCCAGCCUGGGCUGCGCCCUAAAGGCCGCGGUCAGCCGGCACACCCGGGUCCGGCCGAGGGGCGAACGGCAGGUUGUGGCAGCUGCUUGGGGUGGGAGCGCCGGACGGACUGUGUUAAGGGAAACUAAUGAUUAGGGAACGGGCAAACUUGAAGGAUGGAACCAAGUCAUCAACUUCUGAAAAUCAGCCCUGGACUUCCCUACAAUUUAUUCUUUUAGCACUAAACCAAAAGGUAUUAAAAUCUUUUUCAUCUCUACUAUCUGCCUGUUAGCCAUUUUACCAGCACAGUCCUGGGCCUGUAGUAGACACCCUAUAAAUAUUUGUUGGAUGAAAGAAAACUGUAAUAUCCCUCAGAAAAUGAUUAGCAAAGGAAGGACUAAAACUCCUGUCCUUCCCUCCACCUCACACCAUGUGGACAGCAUGUCCAGCUUUGCUGAGGCUGAAUGAGCCAGGGCUGUGAUUGGCACCAUUUUGGAAAUCUGGUCCGAAAGGUUCUAAAGAAUAAUGCAGUAAAAAGAAAUCACCUGUCUGUAUAAAGUGAUUUAUAGAGAUGUGUACUGAGGAAAAAAUGUUGAUUUAGGAAGUACAGCCGUGGUAAUAGAAAUUUUUAGCCAUGGAGAUCAUCAGUCAAAACUUGGAGAACCAACAUGAGGAAAACUAAUCAAAAAGUGCUGAUUACCAGCACCAACAGACUCAGCAAUACCACAAUAAAUUCAAAUAUUCUAUUCAUCUACAAGCAUUAAGUUCUCUUUCAAGAUACCAUACAAUAGCAAGGGUGAUCAAUGCAUCAGGUUUACAUGGGACUUUCGCAGCACUGAAGGUCUCCUGACCCAGCCACUCUAAAAAGCACCCAACUUCAACAUGAUGAGAUUAAACAAUCCUUGUGUUUUGAAGAUUUAAGGGUGCCUGAAGGCUAAAUAGAAAAUACCACCUAGCCUCAAUGUCGUAUGAGUUCUGUUCCCUCCUUUACUUGGGGAGAACAAAGGGUCACUCAAGUCACCUAUGGCCUUCUAGCAGGGUGGACCAAGGAGGAGGCCACCACCUUCAAUGCAGGCUGUGGAGUCCUUUUCCUGGUCAGAGAUAACCUGGCAAGGAUGUCCCAACAUGCAGAAAGAAGCAAAGGCCCAGGGAGGGACAUCUGGUUCUAUUUCCACCCUUGCAAUACCAGCUGCACCACUAGGGGCAACAGGAUCUCUGGCCUGAGGCCUGCCCACCCCUGGCCCACCUCCAGUAUGCCAGCCAAGGUGAGCUGGGACUAACGUUCACUUCCACAGUGGGCAGCCCUCGCCCACGUUCAACAGCAACAAAGGCAGUAUGAAUUGAAAGGCUUCCUUUAAACCACAACAAAAAAUUACCUUUUCUUUCAAAGCUUUCCUCUCUGACAAAGCAAACGAGAGCCAGGAACUUUGUCAC